GACGAACGCUGGCGGCGCGCCUAACACAUGCAAGUCGAACGGAGCUUUGAGAGCUUGCUUUUAAAGCUUAGUGGCGAACGGGUGAGUAACGCGUGAGUAACCUGCCCUGGAGUGGGGGACAACAGUUGGAAACGACUGCUAAUACCGCAUAAGCCCACGGCCGGCAUCGGGCUGAGGGAAAAGGAUUUAUUCGCUUCAGGAUGGACUCGCGUCCAAUUAGCUAGUUGGUGAGGUAACGGCCCACCAAGGCGACGAUUGGUAGCCGGACUGAGAGGUUGAACGGCCACAUUGGGACUGAGACACGGCCCAG
rnacentral:rRNA from 1 species